CUAGCAUACGAGGAGGCAAUGGUGGGAUACUACCCUGGCUGUAUGACCAUUCUAACCCGCCACGCUUAGCGCGUGGGGAGACAGUGUCAGGUGGGCAGUUUGACUGGGGCGGUCGCCUCCUAAAGAGGAACGGAGGCGCCCAAAGGUUCCCUCAGAAUGGAUGGAAAUCAUUCGCAGAGUGUAAAGGCACAAGGGAGCUUGACUGCGAGACUGACAAGUCGAGCAGGGACGAAAGUCGGGCUUAGUGAUCCGG
rnacentral:rRNA from 1 species